GGUUUGCUUGGUACGAGCCA
rnacentral:snRNA from 1 species